AAGUUACAAGCAAAACAAUGAAAACAUAAUAUGCUCAAGAAAGUAUGCAAGGAAGCAAACCACUAGCAUAUUUACUAACGAAAACAGGUCAAACCUCCCUAUUCACAAGUGAUAUCAUCUCUAAGGUUUGUAAGUACUGAUAACAGAAUCUAUAACCCAGAGUUGGUGUUUCUCCAGAGUUGAUAAACAUACACUCUCUAAGCUGUAUUCCUUGACGGGUUUCAUCAUACAAUUCAAAAUGGACACAACCCAAAAGAAAACAACUAG